rnacentral:rRNA from 1 species
GGUGUAGUAACGCGUGGGAACAUACCCUUUCCUGCGGAAUAGCUCUGGGAAACUGGAAUUAAUACCGCAUACGCCCUACGGGGGAAAGAUUUAUCGGGGAAGGAUUGGCCCGCGUUGGAUUAGCUAGUUGGUGGGGUAAAGGCCUACCAAGGCGACGAUCCAUAGCUGGUCUGAGAGGAUGAUCAGCCACAUUGGGACUGAGACACGGCCCAAACUCCUACGGGAGGCAGCAGUGGGGAAUAUUGGACAAUGGGCGCAAGCCUGAUCCAGCCAUGCCGCGUGAGUGAUGAAGGCCUUAGGGUUGUAAAGCUCUUUCACCGGAGAAGAUAAUGACGGUAUCCGGAGAAGAAGCCCCGGCUAACUUCGUGCCAGCAGCCGCGGUAAUACGAAGGGGGCUAGCGUUGUUCGGAAUUACUGGGCGUAAAGCGCACGUAGGCGGAUAUUUAAGUCAGGGGUGAAAUCCCAGAGCUCAACUCUGGAACUGCCUUUGAUACUGGGUAUCUUGAGUAUGGAAGAGGUAAGUGGAAUUCCGAGUGUAGAGGUGAAAUUCGUAGAUAUUCGGAGGAACACCAGUGGCGAAGGCGGCUUACUGGUCCAUUACUGACGCUGAGGUGCGAAAGCGUGGGGAGCAAACAGGAU